rfam:Cucumis melo, WGS project CAJI01000000 data, contig: 23660
UCAAAGGAUUUAAUCAAAUCCAAGAUCAGAUCAAAAGAUAUUUUAU